rnacentral:tRNA from 1 species
GCCCUUGUGGCUCAGUGGCAGAGCACUCCCUUGGUAAGGGAGAGGUCGUGGGUCCGAUUCCCGCCAAGGGCACCA